rnacentral:rRNA from 1 species
GACGAACGCUGGCGGCGUGCUUAACACAUGCAAGUCGAACGGAAAGGCCCUGCUUUUGUGGUGUGCUCGAGUGGCUAACGGGUGAGUAACACGUGAGUAACCUGCCCUUGACUUUGUUAUAACUUCAGGAAACUGGGGCUAAUACCGGAUAGGAGCUCCUGCUGCAUGGUGGGGGUUGGAAAGUUUCGGCGGUUGGGGAUGGACUCGCGGCUUAUCAGCUUGUUGGUGGGGUAGUGGCUUACCAAGGCUUUGACGGGUAGCCGGCCUGAGAGGGUGACAGGCAAAAUUGGGACUGAGAUAGGGGCCAGACGCAGACGGGAGGCAGCAGUGGGGAAUAGUGAAAAGUGGGCGGAAGCCGGAAGCAGCAACGCCGCGUGCGGGGUAAAGGCCUUCGGGUUGUAAACCGCUUUCGCCUGUGACGAAGCGGGAGUGACGGUAAUGGGUAAAGAAGCACCGGCUAACUACGUG